UAACAACCCACCACUACCACGUUCUUUAUCCAUAUUUUUUUUAAUUAUUUUAAUAAUAUUCCAAAAUUUUACUCAUCAAUAAUGAAGAAUCCCAAUCAGUAGUCUUCUACCAUUAUAAUCACCUUUUGAUCAGAUAAGACCACUUGCUUCAGUCCUUUAUUCUUUUGGCUCUCUCUCUUUCAGCUUUCAGUUUCGUCUGUCUAGGGGAUACAUGGGGUCUGAAGGGCCUUCACCUGUGAUCGUACAUGUAACUGGUUUCAAGAAAUUUCAUGGAGUUGCUGAAAAUCCAACAGAAACCAUUGUAAGUAAUCUUAAAGAUUAUAUGAAGAAAAGGGGUAUGCCCAAAGGGCUGAUCCUUGGGAAUUGCAGCAUCCUUGAUACUGCAGGCCAGGGAGCCCUAGUUCCCUUAUAUCAGACACUGCAAGCUGGUUUAAGCGGUGGUGACUCGGAGUCAUCUAAUUCCAAGAGAGUUAUUUGGGUACACUUUGGAGUUAAUAGUGGUGCCACAAUGUUUGCCAUAGAGAAUCAGGCUGUCAAUGAAGCUACUUUCCGUUGUCCAGAUGAGAUGGGAUGGAAACCUCAGAAAGUACCUAUUGUUCCUGCAGAUGGGGCAAUUUCGCGUAAACGAGAGACUUCUCUUCCGGUGGAGGAAAUGACCAAGGUAUUGGCAAAGAUGGGAUAUGAAGUAAUGACCUCUGAUGAUGCAGGCCGGUUUGUAUGCAAUUAUGUAUACUACCAUUCCUUGCGUUUUGCAGAGCAUAAUGGUGUCCGAUCACUAUUUGUACACGUUCCCCUCUUCCUAACCAUAGACGAGGAGACGCAAAUGCAAUUUGCUGCUUCUUUGCUGGAGCUACUCGCCUCUUCAUACUAGUCCUCGACUUCUGUGUCUGGAAGUGUAUUUGCCUUGUUAUUUAUGCUGUGUAUGCGGAAGAAGGUUGAUCUGGAUAUAAAUGUAAUGCUUUAAUAAACAGUGAACUUUUAGUGAAUGGCAAAUGCAUAUGGUGUGUACAUGUAUCUUCCUCAACAUUCCUUGGGUGGUUUAUCUCGUUGAUUUGGAGAUGUUUCAUGCCUAUUUGCGAGCAAACUUACAGCUUUCUGUAUCUCCUAAUGGAUAUGAUAGGAACUUG
rnacentral:misc_RNA from 1 species